UACGAAGGGGGCUAGCGUUGCUCGGAUUGACUGGGCGUAAAGGGCGCGUAGGCGGUUCGUACAGUCAGACGGUGAAAUUCCUGGGCUCAACCUGGGGGCUGCGUUUGAUACGUGCGGACUUGAGUGCGGAAGAGGGUCGUGGAAUUCCCAGUGUAGAGGUGAAAUUCGUAGAUAUUGGGAAGAACACCGGUGGCGAAGGCGGCGACCUGGUCCGAUACUGACGCUGAGGCGCGAAAGCGUGGGGAGCAAACAGG
rnacentral:rRNA from 1 species